UGUGAGGAUGAUCUGGCUGCUACAUCUGUUAUCCCAUGGAUCGCCAAGGUUGAUUUGGCUAAUCUGGCUAGCUAAGUGUCCCUCUCCUCCCUCACCAN
rnacentral:snRNA from 1 species